rnacentral:tRNA from 1 species
GUCCCCGUAGUGAAAUGGAUAUCACAACUGCCUUCGGAGCAGUUAUUAGGGGUUCGAGUCCUCUCGGGGACA